rnacentral:tRNA from 1 species
GCGCGCUUAGCUCAGUCGGUAGAGCAACUGACUUUUAAUCAGUAGGUCGUUGGUUCGAAUCCAACAGCGCGUACCA